GGCCGGUUGGCGCAAUGGUAGCGCGUGUCCCUCCUAUAAAUAUGACAGGACAAGGCUGUGGGUUCGAGUCCCAUGCUGGUCG